CGCAGGCGGCUGCUAUACAUGCAGUCGAGCGGACUUGAUGAGAAGCUUGCUUCUCUGAUGGUUAGCGGCGGACGGGUGAGUAACACGUAGGCAACCUGCCUGUAAGAUCGGGAUAACUACCGGAAACGGUAGCUAAGACCGGAUAAUCGGUUUCUCCGCAUGGAGAGAUCGUGAAACACGGAGCAAUCUGUGGCUUACGGAUGGGCCUGCGGCGCAUUAGCUAGUUGGUGAGGUAACGGCUCACCAAGGCGACGAUGCGUAGCCGACCUGAGAGGGUGAACGGCCACACUGGGACUGAGACACGGCCCAGACUCCUACGGGAGGCAGCAGUAGGGAAUCUUCCGCAAUGGACGCAAGUCUGACGGAGCAACGCCGCGUGAGUGAUGAAGGUUUUCGGAUCGUAAAGCUCUGUUGCCAGGGAAGAACGCCAAGGAGAGUAACUGCUCUUUGGGUGACGGUACCUGAGAAGAAAGCCCCGGCUAACUACGUGCCAGCAGCCGCGGUAAUACGUAGGGGGCAAGCGUUGUCCGGAAUUAUUGGGCGUAAAGCGCGCGCAGGCGGUUUUUUAAGUCUGGUGUUUAAUCCCGAGGCUCAACCUCGGUUCGCACCGGAAACUGGGAGACUGGAGUGCAGGAGAGGAAAGUGGAAUU
rnacentral:rRNA from 1 species